UGCCAGCAGCCGCGGUAAUACGGAGGAUCCAAGCGUUAUCCGGAAUUAUUGGGUUUAAAGGGUCCGUAGGCGGUUUAUUAAGUCAGAUGUGAAAGCCCCGGGCUUAACCUGGGAACUGCAUUUGAAACUGGUAAACUAGAGUAUGGUAGAGGAAAGUGGAAUUUCCGGUGUAGCGGUGAAAUGCGUAGAUAUCAGAAGGAACAUCAAUGGCGAAGGCAGCUUUCUGGACCAAUACUGACGCUGAGGUACGAAAGCGUGGGUAGCAAACAGGAUUAGAUA
rnacentral:rRNA from 1 species